rnacentral:rRNA from 1 species
GAUGAACGCUGGCGGCGUGCCUAAUACAUGCAAGUCGAGCGAAAAGGUGAGGCGCUUGCUCCUCUCACGUUAGGGGAGGGCGGGUGAGUAACACGUGGAUAACGUACCUGUAAGACGGGGAUAACUUGGGGAAACGGGCGCUAAUCCCGGAGAAGCUAUUGAACCGCGGGGGUGGUUGGUAAGAUACGGCUGUGCGGUCACGUCUAGCUGGAUAUGCGCCGCAUUAGCUAGUUGGUGAGGUAACGGGCUAUGACGGGAACGAGGCGUAGACGAGGUGCGGGAGGGAUCGGCCACAUUGGAACUGAGACACGGUCCAGGCUCCUGAGGGACGCAGCAGUAGGGAAUGUUCCGCAACGGGCGAAAGUCUGACGGAGCAACCGCGCGUGAGUUAUGAAGGUCUUCGGAGCGUAAUACUCUGUUAUGAGGGAAGAACCAAUGUGUAAGUAACCAUGCACGGCGUGACGGUACUUAAUAAGAAAGCCACGGCUAACUACGUG